rfam:Salmo salar isolate Sally breed double haploid chromosome ssa10, whole genome shotgun sequence.
AAUGCACCAAUUUGUAAGUCGCUCUGGAUAAGGGCGUCUGCUAAAUGUCUUAAA